rnacentral:rRNA from 1 species
CCUACGGGUGGCAGCAGUGGGGAAUAUUGCACAAUGGGGGAAACCCUGAUGCAGCGACGCCGCGUGAGCGAUGAAGUAUUUCGGUAUGUAAAGCUCUAUCAGCAGGGAAGUAAAUGACGGUACCUGACUAAGAAGCCCCGGCUAACUACGUGCCAGCAGCCGCGGUAAUACGUAGGGGGCAAGCGUUAUCCGGAUUUACUGGGUGUAAAGGGGGCGUAGAAGGCUGUGCAGGCCAGAGGUGAGAGCCCGGGGCUCAACCCCAGGACUGCAGUUGGAACUGUGUGGCUGGAGUGUCGGAGAGGCAGGCGGAAUUCCUGGUGUAGCGGUGAAAUGCGUAGAUAUUAGGAGGAACACCAGUGGCGAAGGCGGCCUGCUGGACGAUGACUGACGUUGAGGCUCGAAAGCGUGGGGAGCAAACAGGAUUAGAUACCCUUGUAUC